rnacentral:rRNA from 1 species
UAGGGAAUCUUCCGCAAUGGACGCAAGUCUGACGGAGCAACGCCGCGUGAGUGAAGAAGGAUUUCGGUUCGUAAAACUCUGUUGUUAGAGAAGAACAGCGCAUAGAGUAACUGUUAUGCGUGUGACGGUAUCUAACCAGAAAGCCACGGCUAACUACGUGCCAGCAGCCGCGGUAAUACGUAGGUGGCAAGCGUUGUCCGGAUAUAUUGGGCGUAAAGCGAGCGCAGGCGGUCAAUUAAGUCUGAUGUGAAAGCCCCCGGCUCAACCGGGGAGGGUCAUUGGAAACUGGUUGACUUGAGUGCAGAAGAGGAGAGUGGAAUUCCAUGUGUAGCGGUGAAAUGCGUAGAUAUAUGGAGGAACACCAGUGGCGAAGGCGACUCUCUGGUCUGUAACUGACGCUGAGGCUCGAAAGCGUGGGUAGCAAACAGG